rnacentral:rRNA from 1 species
AUUGAACGCUGGCGGCAGGCCUAACACAUGCAAGUCGAACGAGUGGCGGACGGGUGAGUAAUGUUUGGGACUCUAGCUGAUGGAGGGGGAUAACUACGGGAAACGGUAGCUAAUACCGCAUACUAUAGGAUGAACCCAAGUGGGAUUAGGUAGUGGGUGGGGUAAAGGCUCACAAAGGCGACGAUCUCUAGCUGGUCUGAGAGGAGGACCAGCCACACUGGGACUGAGACACGGCCCAGACUCCUACGGGAGGCAGCAGUGGGGAAUAUUGCGCAAUGGGGGCAACCUGACGCAGCCAUGCCGCGUGAAUGAAGAAGGCCUUCGGGUUGUAAAGUACUUUCGGUAGCGAGGCGUUAACUACAGAAGAAGCACCGGCUAACUCCGUGCCAGCAGCCGCGGUAAUUC